rnacentral:rRNA from 1 species
GAUGAACGCUAGCGGCAGGCCUAACACAUGCAAGUCGAGGGGCAUCACGGAUUGCUUGCAAUCUGGUGGCGACCGGCGCACGGGUGCGUAACGCGUAUACAACCUACCUUUUGGAGGGGAAUAGCCCAGAGAAAUUUGGAUUAAUACCCCAUAGUAUAUAGGAAUCUCCUGAUUUUUAUAUUAAACAUUUAUGGCCAUUAGAUGGGUAUGCGUCCUAUUAGCUAGUUGGUGUGGUAACGGCACACCAAGGCUACGAUAGGUAGGGGUCCUGGGAGGGAGAUCCCCCACACUGGUACUGAGACACGGACCAGACUCCUACGGGAGGCAGCAGUGAGGAAUAUUGGACAAUGGGCGAGAGCCUGGUCCAGCCAUGCCGCGUGCAGGAAGACUGCCCUAUGGGUUGUAAACUGCUUUUACAGAGGAAGAACCACCCCCACGUGUGGGGGUUUGACGGUACUCUGCGAAUAAGGAUCGGCUAACUCCGUGCCAGCCGCCGCAGUAACAC